GCUGAUGUGGCUCAAUGGCAGAGCAGCUCACUCGUAAUGAGCAGGUUGUCGGUUCGAUUCCGAUCAUCAGCUCCA
rnacentral:tRNA from 1 species